GAUGAACGCUAGCUACAGGCUUAACACAUGCAAGUCGAGGGGAAACGAUAGAGAAAGCUUGCUUUUUCUAGGCGUCGACCGGCGCACGGGUGAGUAACGCGUAUCCAACCUGCCCAUCACUUGGGGAUAACCUUGCGAAAGUAAGACUAAUACCCAAUGACGUCUCUAGAAGACAUCUGAAGGAGAUUAAAGAUUUAUCGGUGAUGGAUGGGGAUGCGUCUGAUUAGCUUGUUGGCGGGGUAACGGCCCACCAAGGCGACGAUCGGUAGGGGUUCUGAGAGGAAGGUCCCCCCACAUUGGAACUGAGACACGGUCCAAACUCCUACGGGAGGCAGCAGUGAGGAAUAUUGGUCAAUGGACGAGAGUCUGAACCAGCCAUGCCGCGUGCAGGAUGACGGCUCUAUGAGUUGUAAACUGCUUUUGUACUAGGGUAAACUCACCUACGUGUAGGUGACUGAAAGUAUAGUACGAAUAAGGAUCGGCUAACUCCGUGCCAGCAGCCG
rnacentral:rRNA from 1 species